rnacentral:tRNA from 1 species
GGGAAUGUAGCUUAGUGAUAAGAGUGCUUGCCUAGCAUGCAUGAAGCCCAGGGUUCAAUUCCUCAGUACCA